UGCACUUUGCCUAGGGGGCUACGUGUCGCUGUGUUUUUGGCUUUGGGUGGUUAUGGCGGACGUAGGCGAAGCACGUUGUUUCUGUGUGAUCAAUUUCCUUUUCCAGCAAAACCUUUCUUGGCUGCACAACGUAUUUUAAUCUGCGUGCAGUGUAUGAACUCGUGAUAUAUGCGGACAAAGUGGAGGUAGUUACUACAGUGUCAAGAAGUUGCACUUCCAUGAAGGAUCGGUGGACGAUUUUAGCUCAACGGCUGUUUAUGCCUGCUGGCGAAGAAACGAUGGACUGUUGUCCCGCCAAGGUGCCGAUAAUGAAAGGUAAACAUAUAAAUAUUUGUUGUGAUGUGAUAAUGAAGUGAUACGGAAUGCUAUCUGUGAUUGCAAAGUGCAUGCGUGAAGUUUGAAAAUCCUUUGCGAUCCGUUCAAACAAAGGAACGAAACUCGAUCACGAGAGGAGAGUGAGAUUCGCUAGAGUUAGCAACGGUUGUUUAUGUAUCGGGACCCGGCUGAUUAGCUUUGGAAUAAGCGUUGAAAUGUGUUACAUAAUCGUCAUUGCACAUACAAAAGCGCGUGCCAUUGAGGAUUGCUAGGUGGGGUUCUGUGGUUUGUCAUGUGCGACUUGGUUGUGCGCGGAUGGGUUGGAAGCUUAGAUGUUUCUGUUCGGGUGUGUCUCGGCUACAUCUCGUCGUUUAGAUCAUCAUAUGUUUGAGAUGCACGUACUUGAAUGUGUGUUUCUAUGUCGCUGCAAAUACAAGUGCCCUGUGUUGUAGACAUAUAGUAUAGUUGGCCCCGAAAUCGUAACACAUUCACUUUUUAAAACAAUCCCGUGUUAUCUUGUCAAACCAUUGCUUUUGUCUUUCGCAACGCUUAGAUAAAAUAACACAGGUGAAUUUCUCAUAAAUAAAGUCAAAUGUAUAUGUUAGUAAUUCAUGAUUAAAUUUUCAGAAAAGUAGAGUGGGCCGGCUGUUGACCACAGUAAGUCACAUGUGCAUCCAACGUAAUGAGAAUGAGCCGAGGUAGUCUACAGGCGUGGACAGCACGGCGUGGCUUGCUCACCCACUGCAUGCUUGCGUACUGAAGCCAUCUUUCUUUUCCUACAAAAUUUUGUUUUAAAAUAUAUUCUGACAUAUAUGAACAUGAACAUAGUAUUGUGUACUUGUAGUGUUUCCACACUAUAUUAGUUACAUGCAUGCCAUGCUUUGUACGACAUACUCCUCUGAUUGUGCCUUUCAUCUGUCAAAUGCUGUUUUCCAGAAAACGUACCUUAUCAAGACAGUGUGACGUCCACAAGCAAGUGCCACAGAUUUUUUAUGCUCAUGACACGGAUGCAGCUCUGUGCGAGAAGUGGCAAGAACAGUGCGGUCACCUAGGGAGCUCCACGGACAGAUCAUGACUGCAAAGCGGCGCCAGCAGUUGCUGCUGUCACGAGUUGCUUUCAGGAGUACACUGCCACGAAGCCCAGCCGCAAAGGCAGAAGUCUGACUGAGUGAAUUGAUCCAAUUAACGGCUACUUGGCUGACUUCCUAAAAAGGCUCAAACACUCACGUCUCAUCCCAUCAUCUUGCGGACUGCCACACAUACCCAUGCCAUACAGCAAGGUCGGGGGCCAUACAGGCUAUGGACUCCAUAGGAGGCCAUACAGUGUACGGACUGCCAUAGGAGGCCAUUCAGUGUACGGACUGCCA